rnacentral:rRNA from 1 species
GAGGAUAAUACCCCAUAGAGGAAAGAUACUGGAACGUUCUUUCCUUCAAAGCCUCGGCGCUUAAGGAUGGGAUGGCGGCGGAUUAGAUUGUUGGCGGGGUAAUGGCCCACCAAGUCAGAGAUCCGUAGGAGCCUUGAGAGAGGUAGCUCCGAGAAGGGCACUGAGAUACUGGCCCUAGCCCUACGGGGUGCAGCAGGCGCGAAAACUUUACAAUGCACGAAAGUGUGAUAAGGGAACCCCAAGUGCUUAGUUUUUACUAGGCUUUUGCCAAGAGCAAAAAUCUUGGCGAAUAAGUGGUGGGUAAGACUGGUGCCAGCCGCCGCGGUAACCCCAGCGCCACAAGUGGUGACCACAAUUAUUGGGCCUAAAGCGUCCGUAGCCGGUUUGCUAAAUCCUCUGUGAAAUUGUCGGACUUAAUCUGGCAGCGUGCAGAGGAGACUGGCAGACUUGAGACUGGGAGGAGCCGGAGGUAUUUCAGGGGAAGCGGUAAAAUGCUAUAAUCCUUGACAGACCACCUGUGGCGAAGGCGUCCGGCUAGUACAGAUCUGACGGUGAGGGACGAAAGCUAGGGGAGCAAUCCGGAUUAGAUACCCGAGUAGUCCUAGCUGUAAACACUGCGAGC